UCGUUGUGCGACCGUCUGAUGUCUUCUGCUGCCUUAGUUCGGUCAGAGAUUUCUUUAAAUAUGCUGCCAUUGGACGCUUGCCCUAUGCUCCCAUCUCGUGCAUCGUGCCCUGACACAUAAGCCAUAUCGAGGUUUUUCAGACCAACAAGCAACCGACUGUCUGCGGAGAUUGCGAUUGCCAAAUGGCUGUCAACAGUUCCGCAUUGAAAGCUCCAUGCGAUUCGAUUGUCGCUCCAAUUGCUCUGCUCUAGAUCUCUGCCGCAUUGUAAGUACCAAAGCCGAGGCCCAGCUCCUUUAAGACGUGGGCGUUAAAAUCUGGAUAAAUUAUGUAGCUACUAAUUAAAUUGUUCUAUGAUGUUUGUCAAAUGUUUUCACACUACACUGAAAACAAUUGCAUUACGGUUGAGUAAAUUUCCAUAAUUUAAUGUA